CUAAUACCGCAUAACANCGUUGUUCGCAUGAACAACGCUUAAAAGAUGGCUUCUCGCUAUCACUUCUGGAUGGACCUGCGGUGCAUUAGCUUGUUGGUGGGGUAACGGCCUACCAAGGCGAUGAUGCAUAGCCGAGUUGAGAGACUGAUCGGCCACAAUGGGACUGAGACACGGCCCAUACUCCUACGGGAGGCAGCAGUAGGGAAUCUUCCACAAUGGGCGCAAGCCUGAUGGAGCAACACCGCGUGAGUGAAGAAGGGUUUCGGCUCGUAAAGCUCUGUUGUUAAAGAAGAACACGUAUGAGAGUAACUGUUCAUACGUUGACGGUAUUUAACCAGAAAGUCACGGCUAACUACGUGCCAGCAGCCGCGGUAAUACGUAGGUGGCAAGCGUUAUCCGGAUUUAUUGGGCGUAAAGAGAGUGCAGGCGGUUUUCUAAGUCUGAUGUGAAAGCCUUCGGCUUAACCGGAGAAGUGCAUCGGAAACUGGAUAACUUGAGUGCAGAA
rnacentral:rRNA from 1 species